GCCGGAAGGCUGAACCAGCCAAGUCGCGUGAGGGAAGACUGCCCUAUGGGUUGUAAACCUCUUUUAUAAGGGAAGAAUAAGUUCUACGUGUAGAAUGAUGCCUGUACCUUAUGAAUAAGCAUCGGCUAACUCCGUGCCAGCAGCCGCGGUAAUACGGAGGAUGCGAGCGUUAUCCGGAUUUAUUGGGUUUAAAGGGUGCGUAGGCGGUUUAUUAAGUUAGUGGUUAAAUAUUUGAGCUAAACUCAAUUGUGCCAUUAAUACUGGUAAACUGGAGUACAGACGAGGUAGGCGGAAUAAGUUAAGUAGCGGUGAAAUGCAUAGAUAUAACUUAGAACUCCGAUAGCGAAGGCAGCUUACCAGACUGUAACUGACGCUGAUGCACGAGAGCGUGGGUAGCGAACAGGAUUAGAUACCCUGGUAGUCCACGCCGUAAACGAUGCUCACUGGUUCUGUGCGAUAUAUUGUACGGGAUUAAGCGAAAGUAUUAAGUGAGCCACCUGGGGAGUACGUCGGCAACGAUGAAACUCAAAGGAAUUGACGGGGGCCCGCACAAGCGGAGGAACAUGUGGUUUAAUUCGAUGAUACGCGAGGAACCUUACCCGGGUUUAAAUGGGAAAUGUCGUAUUUGGAAACAGAUAUUCUCUUCGGAGCGUUUUUCAAGGUGCUGCAUGGUUGUCGUCAGCUCGUGCCGUGAGGUGUCGGGUUAAGUCCCAUAACGAGCGCAACCCUUACCGUUAGUUGCUAGCAUGUAAUGAUGAGCACUCUAACGGGACUGCCACCGUAAGGUGUGAGGAAGGCGGGGAUGACGUCAAAUCAGCACGGCCCUUACA
rnacentral:rRNA from 1 species